UCGAUAGUGGUUGUGCGUUCUUUAAUUGGAGUUUUUCGGUGAUUUUAGUGUCGUGUUGUCUGGUACGUGCCGCCGCGACAGUGUUAACGGUUAAAAGUGUAAUGAAUACAAGUAAAACCGAAAACAAAAAAUGCAAAUUUGUUGUUGCUAAUAAAAGUGAAAUGUAUUAAGCAAAAUUAAAAGGCGAAUAUGUAAUUUUUAUAAUAUCGCGAGUCGGGAAAAUUUUUUCUGAAUCAAAGUGGCAAGUGAGAAAAUUAAAAAUGUGUGAUUUGUGUUCAUAUGAAUAAAAAUAAAUAAAUAUAUACACAAAUGUACAUACUAUAUAAUUGUGUUCAGUUUAUAUAAACAAAUAUUUAUUAAAGUGUAAUAAAAUUGGAAAUAUUAAAUAAUAUAAGCACAUAUAAAGAUAAAAUUCCAAAAAAUAUAUUUAGUAUAUACUAUGUCAAUACUUCAAGUGAAUCACCAACAGACCGAUCUAAUUGACUAAAAGUAGUACAAGUAUACAUACAUAUGUACGCAUAAAUGAAGAAAUAGCUGCUGGAUCUACAAAGAAACUACUGCGUUUAAUUAACAGAAUUAUCUACAAAUUAAAUGAAUAGCCAAAGUGAAGUGUGUUCAAGCGUGUGUGAGCAAACCGCAGCGGCAUAAACAAUUAACUGUCGAAUACUCUUUCAUUUAGUUGUUCUUGAAUAAAGGGUUGGCACAAAACCGUUAUUACCGAAAAACUAAACUUAAUGGCUUUGUAUGAGUGUAUAUACACAUACAUACAUAGAUAUUUCUCAACAUAGACAAGCGCCAGUAAGACAUUCGAAGGUCCUAAAAGUGAAAUGAGCUAACACCGACACCAAAACAAAUGAAAGCCAAAUAAAUGAUGUAGUAAAGAUAAGAGUGGGGCGUCUGAAAGGAAAUUGAGUAAUUGUAAGCGACGCUACAUACACACCUACAAACAUAUUGUUUCGGGAAUUUACGAAUAUGUUCGAAGAGAAGGAGUAAAUGGACAUUAAGUAGGAGUAUUAGAGGCUAACAUAAAGAGCCAAGACCACAAAGCAAAUCACUCACUCAAGAUGGUCACAUAUGCAUUUAUCCCAGCGUCACAGCGUCACAGCGAAGCUAAAAGAAGGAUAGCGUGAAAUUAAUAAAAUAUUAAGAAAGCAAAUAAACAAAAUGUCUCUAGAAAGCGCACAAAGCAAAAAGAACAUUCACUGCUUACCAGACGCCACCGGCUGGAGGGAGGCGGCUUGCCAAAUAUUAUUAAAAUAAAGUAGAAUAGUGAAAGUAAAAGGAAAAUGAAAAUGAUGACAAACAACAAAAUAAAGUGGAGGAAACAACAGCAUUAAGUGCAAAAAAUAAUGAAGCGAAGAAGAGAUAAACUUGGAUCUUGUGGAUUGCAUUGAAAAAGUACUUAAAAUUAAGAGAAAUUUAAUGAAAAUAAGUAAAUUAUUAUAAGAAAGUAUCGAAAUGCUGAAUUUGUUGCAGCGGAAGAUUCUUUAUCGCUCAGCAAGCAAACAACACUGCCAACAAAUCGUCUAUGUCGUGCCAAAUUUACUUAAAUUAUAAAGGCCCUUAAAGUGAGAGAAUUACUUAAGGCUUGAAAAGUUAGUGGCAGCAUUUUAAGCUCACCACACUUAAAUAUAUACUCACCACACCUGAAAGUAUAAAUUAUAUUAUAUUUUUAUGAAAUACUGUCAACGCAGCAAUUUUGCAUAGUCGAAAAUUAACACAAUUGUUGUUGUCACGUAAUGA